rnacentral:antisense_RNA from 3 species
CUUCACCGACCCCAGCCACAGCGGCCGCUCCGGGUCCCUGCCCUGCCCGUACGUGGCCAACAGCGCACCGGCCUC